rnacentral:rRNA from 1 species
AACGCUAGCUACAGGCUUAACACAUGCAAGUCGAGGGGUAACGAGAGGAAAGCUUGCUUUCCUUGUCGACGACCGGCGCACGGGUGAGUAACGCGUAUCCAACCUGCCCCCAACUAGGGAAUAACCUUGCGAAAGUAAGACUAAUACCCUAUAAUUUCCUCAGAUGUCAUCUGACGAGGAAUAAAGAUUUAUCGGUUGUGGAUGGGGAUGCGUCUGAUUAGCUUGUUGGCGGGGUAACGGCCCACCAAGGCAACGAUCAGUAGGGGUUCUGAGAGGAAGGUCCCCCACAUUGGAACUGAGACACGGUCCAAACUCCUACGGGAGGCAGCAGUGAGGAAUAUUGGUCGAUGGGCGGAAGCCUGAACCAGCCAAGUAGCGUGCAGGAUGACGGCCCUAUGGGUUGUAAACUGCUUUUAUACAGGAAUAAAGUUAGCCACGUGUGGUUAUUUGUAGGUACUGUAUGAAUAAGGACCGGCUAAUUCCGUGCCAGCAGCCGCGGUAAUACGGAAGGUCCAGGCGUUAUCCGGAUUUAUUGGGUUUAAAGGGAGCGUAGGCCGUCUGUUAAGCGUGUUGUGAAAUGUAGAUGCUCAACAUCUGAAUUGCAGCGCGAACUGGCAGACUUGAGUGUGCGCAACGUAGGCGGAAUUCGUGGUGUAGCGGUGAAAUGCUUAGAUAUCACGAAGAACUCCGAUUG